rnacentral:lncRNA from 1 species
CAUAUUCAUUCCAACCUACAUAUAUUCACUCUCUCCCUCUAACUGAUGUUGUGUUCUUCUCUUUCCCAGAAAACUGGUGCUAUGAUUACAAAGGUUAUAAAAUGUGCAGUCCUCCAGUUGAAGAGGCAUGGACUGGGAGCUGCCAAAAUAAGGACAAUCCCCAAUUAACACUCUGAGCACAAGAGUCAAGAAUCUUCCCUCACUGGGUCGUUUGAGGUUCAAGAACUAUGAAAUGAAGAAUGUAAGGCCUAUUAAAAACAAUGGGUUUUCUGGUCAGUCA